rnacentral:rRNA from 1 species
UACGUAGGGGGCUAGCGUUGUCCGGAUUUAUUGGGCGUAAAGAGCGUGUAGGCGGCCAGGUAGGUCUGGUGUGAAAACUCGAGGCUUAACCUCGAGAUGUCAUCGGAAACCAUCUGGCUAGAGUCCGGAAGAGGAGAGUGGAAUUCCUGGUGUAGCGGUGAAAUGCGCAGAUAUCAGGAAGAACACCAAUGGCGAAAGCAGCUCUCUGGGACGGUACUGA